CCUUUUAGAAGAUACAAAGCCAAAGACUCAUACGGACUUCAGCUACACCAACAAAGCUUUGAGAAGCAAGAAGAAACUUGGUUAGUGUUUUCGAGUCAAAUAUGACUUGAUGUCAUGUGUAUGAUUGGGUAUAAGAACUAGAACCGCAACCGGAUCUUAAAAGCCUAAGUAGUAUUUAGAAGAUACAAAGCCAAACAUUCAUACGGACUUUGGUUACACCAUUAAAGCUUUGUGAAGCAAGAAGAAGCUUUGUUAGUGUUUUGGAGUCAAAUAUGACUAGAUGUCAUGUGUAUGAUUGAGUAUAAAAACUGGAACUGCAACCCGAUCUUAAAAGCCUAGUUAGUGUUUCCUUGUUAGAAGAUACAAAUCCAAAAACUCAUACGGACUUCAGCUACACCAACAAAGCUUUGCGAAGCAAGAA
rnacentral:sRNA from 1 species